rnacentral:rRNA from 1 species
UACGGAGGGUGCAAGCGUUAUCCGGAUUCACUGGGUUUAAAGGGUGCGUAGGCGGGUUUGUAAGUCCGUGGUGAAAUCUCCGAGCUUAACUCGGAAACUGCCAUGGAUACUAUAAGCCUUGAAUGUUGUGGAGGUAAGCGGAAUAUGUCAUGUAGCGGUGAAAUGCUUAGAUAUGACAUAGAACACCUAUUGCGAAGGCAGCUUACUACACAAAUAUUGACGCUGAGGCACGAAAGCGUGGGGAUCAAACAGG